UUCAAUGUUUGCUGCGCAUGCAGGCCAUCGUAUACAUUGCCAGUCGUAAGUGUUUGACGCGUAAAACCAAUGUGGUAGACUAUACCGCAGUCGAUUUUCUUAUUCACCUACUAGACGAAAGGUUGAGCACAUUGCCUCGUGUGUCCAGUGCGUACGCACCAGGGCAGGAAAACCUGUAGUAUCGUUUAGGUUUCUCAAGCAACGCCAGUACCGGGCGUAAAAUGCAAAACAUCUAUUUAGUAUCGUCACGACAAAAAGGGUUUCAUUGUACUUGUUUCGUUGCGCAUAUACGUUCAGGAGGCGCUGGGAGACGACGAAAUGGCUGAAGGAAAGGCAAAGUGUAGACAGACUCCAGUGAAAUGAAGACAGAUGCCGAGCUUCUCAAGCCCUCUACCAAACAACUGUCGUCCAUGACCCGGCCUACAUUCUCAUACACUCGUGUUCCAGCAUAACGUUGUUCGCCUUGUUUGCACUUGCCAAGACGCUGCCGCUGUCACUAAAGGAGUGCCUUACCCCUUGAUCCCAUUAUUUUGCGAUACCCCGAUCCUCUUAAACCCUCAGCUAAAACAGUUAUUUUGGUCUGCCGAGAAAGAAGAAAAGAGGCCAAGCGCCGGAACAAACCCUGAGAA
rnacentral:lncRNA from 1 species